AGCGAACGCUGGCGGCAGGCUUAACACAUGCAAGUCGAACGGUAACAGGGUGCUUGCACCGCUGACGAGUGGCGAACGGGUGAGUAAUGCAUCGGAAUGUACCGUGUAAUGGGGGAUAGCUCGGCGAAAGCCGGAUUAAUACCGCAUACGCCCUGAGGGGGAAAGUGGGGGACCGCAAGGCCUCACGUUAUACGAGCAGCCGAUGUCUGAUUAGCUAGUUGGUGAGGUAAAGGCUCACCAAGGCGUCGAUCAGUAGCGGGUCUGAGAGGAUGAUCCGCCACACUGGGACUGAGACACGGCCCAGACUCCUACGGAGGCAGCAGUGGGGAAUUUUGGACAAUGGGCGCAAGCCUGAUCCAGCAAUGCCGCGUGCAGGAAGAAAGGCCUUCGGUUGUAAACGUAGACGUUUUGUUACGGUAACGG
rnacentral:rRNA from 1 species